UACAGAGGUGGCAAGCGUUGUUCGGAAUUACUGGGCGUAAAGGGCGCGUAGGCGGUCUUGUAAGUCCUGUGUGAAAUCCCUCGGCUCAACUGAGGAACUGCACGGGAAACUGCUUGGCUUGAGUUCGGGAGAGGGAAGCGGAAUUCCGGGUGUAGCGGUGAAAUGCGUAGAUAUCCGGAGGAACACCGGUGGCGAAGGCGGCUUCCCGGACCGACACUGACGCUGAGGCGCGAAAGCUAGGGGAGCAAACGGG
rnacentral:rRNA from 1 species